rnacentral:lncRNA from 1 species
AUGUCAAAGCUGUCAAUGGUUUGCAAGAUGUCAAAAGUUCGAAGUAAAGUAUGUAACUUCACUCCACAACAAGGUUUCUUGUCAGGUAACAAACAUUGCCAUGACUCCUGUAACACAUCCACCCUCCAGGCUCCACUAGGCUCUGCGGUGCUCCUGUCAUGCAGCUUUGGGUCCACCUCUCUGGGCAUUAGCCCUGGCCAUGGCUGGGUGGUGUGGAACCAGGGCUCUGGUUCUGGUGCCAGCCUGGUCAACAUCACGUCCUCUGGGAAGGUGGACUUUCCGGACCCCAGGCAGGGCAGAGUGAAGGCUUUCCCCAAUCAGGGAGGUCUGGGGAACUUCUCCAUCCUAAUCGAUGCCCUUCAGGCCUCAGACGUGGGCUCCUACUGUUGUGAGCUGCAGAGUCAUGACCAGUGCCAUCGAGUGGAAGUUGAAGAACUUGAAGAAGGUUCACACAUCGUGUUGUUUUUCAGCGUCGGCAGUUUGGCCAUCCUCCUAGUGCUCCUAAGUGGCUGUUUCUGCUGAGUGAAAUGGACACGAGUUUCUACUGAAAGAACACCAGACUAUAUCAACACCCAUUUCUGUGCAG